AAUAUCUUCUCAACAAAAUAUGCAAGCGUAAGGUGUUACGUUCUGCGCAUGCGCACAGCUAUUUCCUUAAAUACGCGUAAUUUGUUAAGAGGAUAUUAAGAAAAGUUGUAGCCCUUAUCAAGGCGAACAACUUUUGUUAAUAUCUUCUCAACAAAAUAUGUAAGGGUAAGGUGUUACGUUCUGCGCAUGCGCACAGCUAUCUCCUUAAAUAUGCAUAAUUUGUUAAGAGGAUAUU